AGAUAUGCAAUGUGGUGAUUCAGUAAUUCUAUAUAUUACUCAGUGCUCAUCAUGGUAAUUAAAAUGCUACAAUACCUGGAUCACCUUUGACUUGGUCCUUGUUGCCUUUGGCUUGAAAGUUAGAAAGGUAAUAAAGGGUUAGAUGACAGAGGCUAUUUCCCCCCAGAAGGACUUUUUUUCCUCGGCACCCUUGGACAAUGGGAGACUUCCUUUUGCCUUCAUGGCCAGCAACACAGACUCCAGCACCACCACUGAAACUUAGUAAAUGGCUUAUAGAGAAAACUCAGCUUGUGUUCUGGCCUCUCCUUCUUCUUCCUAUUUGUUACACCAGCCCCGUGGUACCUCGCUAGCUUCUCCUUUUCCUAGUAAAACUCCUCCACUUGGGAAAAGCUUAAUCCUUAGUUCAUAUUGCAAAUUGUUGAUGUUCCUGGAAACAAAACUGCUAGAUGACAUCGGUUCAUGUCAGAAGAGCUUUUUUGCUCUCUGGAAUAUCAUUUAUUUAAUCCUCAUUAUUUUCUCAGCUUUUCAGUGCCAUUAAUAGUAUUGUUUUUGCAACCUACUCUAUUUUUAUUAGU